rnacentral:rRNA from 1 species
GACAGAGGGGGCAAGCGUUGCUCGGAAUUACUGGGCGUAAAGGGCGCGUAGGCGGGAUGGCAAGUCGGUCGUGAAAUCCCUCGGCUCAACCGAGGAACGUCGAUCGAUACUGCUGUUCUUGAGGAUUGCAGAGGAGACUGGAAUUCCCGGUGUAGCGGUGAAAUGUGUAGAGAUCGGGAGGAACACCGGUGGCGAAGGCAGCUUCCUGGCCUGUUCUUGACGCUGAGGCGCGAAAGCUAGGGUAGCAAACGGG